rnacentral:rRNA from 1 species
GACGAACGCUGGCGGCGUGCCUAACACAUGCAAGUCGAGCGGUAACACAGAGGAGCUUGCUCCUUGGGUGACGAGCGGCGGACGGGUGAGUAAUGCCUGGGGAUCUGCCCGAUAGAGGGGGAUAACUACGGGAAACUGUAGCUAAUACCGCAUAAUGUCUACGGACCAAAGUGGGGGCUCUUCGGACCUCAUGCUAUCGGAUGAACCCAGGUGGGACUAGCUAGUUGGUGAGGUAAUGGCUCACCAAGGCGACGAUCUCUAACUGGUUUGAGAGAAUGACCAGUCACACUGGAACUGAGACACGGUCCAGACUCCUACGGGAGGCAGCAGUGGGGAAUAUUGCACAAUGGGCGCAAGCCUGAUGCAGCCAUGCCGCGUGUGUGAAGAAGGCCUUCGGGUUGUAAAGCACUUUCAGCGGGGAGGAAGGGUCACUAGUUAAUACCUAGUGACAUUGACGUUACUCGCAGAAGAAGCACCGGCUAACUCCGUGCCAGCCGCCGCAGUAA